rnacentral:rRNA from 1 species
GCUAAGACUGGAUAGGAAGUUUUAAGGCAUCUUGAAACUUUUAAAAGACCCGCAAGGGUAUGCUGAGAGAUGGGCUUGCGGCACAUUAGUUAGUUGGUAAGGUAACGGCUUACCAAGACCAUGAUGUGUAGCUGGACUGAGAGGUUGAACGGCCACAUUGGGACUGAGAUACGGCCCAAACUCCUACGGGAGGCAGCAGUAAGGAAUUUUCGGCAAUGGAGGAAACUCUGACCGAGCAACGCCGCGUGAACGAUGAAGUAUUUAGGUAUGUAAAGUUCUUUUAUUAAAGAAGAAAAAAUGAUGGAAAAAUCAUUCUGACGGUAUUUAAUGAAUAAGCCCCGGCUAACUAUGUGCCAGCAGCUGCGGUAAUACAUGGGGGGCAAGCGUUAUCCGGAUUUAUUGGGCGUAAAGGGUGCGUAGGCGGUUUAAUAAGUCUAUGGUCUAAGUUCAACGCUUAACGUUGUGAUGCUAUAGAAACUGUUUGACUAGAGUUGGAUAGAGGCAAGCGGAAUUCCAUGUGUAGCGGUAAAAUGCGUAAAGAUAUGGAGGAACACCAGUAGCGAAGGCGGCUUGCUGGGUCUUAACUGACGCUGAGGCACGAAAGCGUGGGGAGCAAACAGGAUUAGAUACCCUGGUAGUCCACGCCGUAAACGAUGAGUACUAAGUGUUGGGUUAAACCAGUGCUGAAGUUAACGCAUUAAGUACUCCGCCUGAGUAGUACGUACGCAAGUAUGAAACUUAAAGGAAUUGACGGGACUCCGCACAAGCGGUGGAUCAUGUUGUUUAAUUCGAAGAUACACGAAAAACCUUACCAGGUCUUGACAUACUCUGCAAAGCUAUAGAAAUAUAGUGGAGGUUAUCAGGGAUACAGGUGGUGCAUGGUUGUCGUCAGCUCGUGUCGUGAGAUGUUGGGUUAAGUCCCGCAACGAGCGCAACCCUUAUCGCUAGUUACCAUCAUUUAGUUGGGCACUUUAGUGAGACUGCCAAUGAUAAAUUGGAGGAAGGUGGGGAUUACGUCAAAUCAUCAUGCCCCUUAUGACCUGGGCUACAAACGUGAUACAAUGGCUGUUACAAAGAGUAGCUGAAGCGUGAGUUUUUAGCAAAUCUCAAAAAAACAGUCUCAGUUCGGAUUGAAGUCUGCAACUCGACUUCAUGAAGUCGGAAUCGCUAGUAAUCGCGAAUCAGCAUGUCGUGGUGAAUACGUUCUCGGGGUUUGUACACACCGCCCGUCAAA